GUCUCCUAUUGGUGAAAUUAUUCUUAGGAAGUGCGUCUCCUAUUGGUACAAUGGAUUUAGGAAGUGCGUCUCCUAUUGGUGAAACUGAACUUAGGAUGUGCGUCUCCUAUUGGUGAAACUUAAUUUAGGAUGUGCGUCUCCUAAUGAUGAAACUAUUCUUAGGAUGUGCGUCUCCUACUGGUGAAAUUAACUUAGGAAGUGCGUCUCCUACUGGUGAAAUUGACUUAGGAAGUGCGUCUCCUACUGGUGAAACUAACUUAGGAAGUGCGUCUCCUCUUGGUGAAUCUUAUCUUAGGAUGUGCGUCUCCUCUUGGUGAAUCUUAUCUUAGGAAGUGCGUCUCCUAUUGUAAAAAUUGAACUUAGGAAGUGUGUCUCCUAUGGGUAGAACUGAACUUAGGAAGUGCGUCUCCUAUCGGUAGAACUGAAACAAACUUAGGAGGAAAUGCAUCUCCUAUGGG
rnacentral:lncRNA from 1 species